rnacentral:tRNA from 1 species
GUCUCAGUAGCGUAGUGGUUAACGCACGAGCCCCAGACAAGCGCGAGAUGUGGGUUCGAAUCCCGCCUGAGGCG